GUAGGUGGCAAGCGUUGUCCGGGAAUUAUUGGGGCGUAAAGCGCGCGCAGGCGGUCCUUUAAGUCUGAUGUGAAAGCCCACGGGCUCAACCGUGGAGGGUCAUUGGAAACUGGGGACUUGAGUGCAGAAGAGAAGAGUGGAAUUCCACGUGUAGCGGUGAAAUGCGUAGAGAUGUGGAGGAACACCAGUGGCGAAGGCGGCUCUUUGGUCUGUAACUGACGCUGAGGCGCGAAAGCGUGGGGAGCAAACAGGAUUAGAUACCCUGGUAGUCCACGCCGUAAACGAUGAGUGCUAAGUGUUAGAGGGUUUCCGCCCUUUAGUGCUGCAGCAAACGCAUUAAGCACUCCGCCUGGGGAGUACGGCCGCAAAGGCUG
rnacentral:rRNA from 1 species